rnacentral:rRNA from 1 species
GAUGAACGCUGGCGGCGUGCCUAAUACAUGCAAGUCGAGCGAACGGACGAGAAGCUUGCUUCUCUGAUGUUAGCGGCGGACGGGUGAGUAACACGUGGAUAACCUACCUAUAAGACUGGGAUAACUUCGGGAAACCGGAGCUAAUACCGGAUAAUAUUUUGCACCGCAUGGUUCAAAAGUGAAAGACGGUCUUGCUGUCACUUAUAGAUGGAUCCGCGCUGCAUUAGCUAGUUGGUAAGGUAACGGCUUACCAAGGCAACGAUGCCUAGCCGACCUGAGAGGGUGGUCGGCCGCACGGGAACUGAGACACGGUCCAGACUCCUACGGGAGGCAGCAGUAGGGAAUCUUCCGCAAUGGGCGAGAGCCUGACGGAGCAGCGCCACGUGAGUGAUGAAAGUCUUCGGAUCGUAAAACUCUGUUAUUAGGGAAGAACAUAUGUGUAAGUAACUGUGCACAUCUUGACGGUACCUAAUCAGAAAGCCACGGCUAACUACGUG